rnacentral:rRNA from 1 species
GAAAUCAACCGAGAUUCCCCCAGUAGCGGCGAGCGAACGGGGAGGAGCCCAGAGCCUGAAUCAGCAUGUGUGUUAGUGGAAGCGUCUGGAAAGGCGCGCGAUACAGGGUGACAGCCCCGUACACAAAAGCGCAUGUGCUGUGAGCUCGAUGAGUAGGGCGGGACACGUGGUAUCCUGUCUGAAUAUGGGGGGACCAUCCUCCAAGGCUAAAUACUCCUGACUGACCGAUAGUGAACCAGUACCGUGAGGGAAAGGCGAAAAGAACCCCGGCGAGGGGAGUGAAAAAGAACCUGAAACCGUGUACGUACAAGCAGUGGGAGCCCCACCACUAAGCCAGUGGUGAACUCCACAUACGCAUCCUUUGCUGAGGAUACGGUUAACGGAGCGAAAGCGACGUUCAACCGCAAAAGAAGCAGAGGGGGCUUAGUGGUGGGGUGACUGCGUACCUUUUGUAUAAUGGGUCAGCGACUUAUAUUCUGUAGCAAGGUUAACCGAAUAGGGGAGCCGGAGGGAAACCGAGUCUUAAUUGGGCGUUAAGUUGCAGGGUAUAGACCCGAAACCCGGUGAUCUAGCCAUGGGCAGGUUGAAGGUUGGGUAACACUAACUGGAGGACCGAACCGACUAAUGUUGAAAAAUUAGCGGAUGACCUGUGGCUGGGGGUGAAAGGCCAAUCAAACCGGGAGAUAGCUGGUUCUCCCCGAAAGCUAUUUAGGUAGCGCCUCGUGAAUUCAUCUCCGGGGGUAGAGCACUGUUUCGGCUAGGGGGCCAUCCCGGCUUACCAACCCGAUGCAAACUGCGAAUACCGGAGAAUGUUAUCACGGGAGACACACGGCGGGUGCUAACGUCCGUCGUGAAGAGGGAAACAACCCAGACCGCCAGCUAAGGUCCCAAAGUCAUGGUUAAGUGGGAAACGAUGUGGGAAGGCCCAGACAGCCAGGAUGUUGGCUUAGAAGCAGCCAUCAUUUAAAGAAAGCGUAAUAGCUCACUGGUCGAGUCGGCCUGCGCGGAAGAUGUAACGGGGCUAAACCAU